AUUGAACGCUGGCGGCAGGCCUAACACAUGCAAGUCGAACGAGUGGCGGACGGGUGAGUAAUGUCUGGGAAACUGCCUGAUGGAGGGGGAUAACUACCGGAAACGGUAGCUAAUACCGCAUACCAUCAGAUGUGCCCAGAUGGGAUUAGCUAGUAGGUGGGGUAACGGCUUACCAAGGCGACGAUCCGUAGCUGGUCUGAGAGGAUGAACAGUCACACUGGAACUGAGACACGGUCCAGACUCCUACGGGAGGCAGCAGUGGGGAAUAUUGGACAAUGGGCGAAAGCCUGAUGCAGCCAUGCCGCGUGUAUGAAGAAGGUCUUCGGGUUGUAAAGCACUUUAAGUUGGGAGGCGUUACCCACAGAAGAAGCACCGGCUAACUCCGUGCCAGCAGCCGCGGUAAUAC
rnacentral:rRNA from 1 species